rnacentral:rRNA from 1 species
CAUGGGGUGUCCGCCCUGGUUUGUAUGUGUUUUUUUCCCCGUCAGGAUGAACGCUGGCGGCGUGCCUAAUACAUGCAAGUCGAGCGAACGGACGAGAAGCUUGCUUCUCUGAUGUUAGCGGCGGACGGGUGAGUAACACGUGGAUAACCUACCUAUAAGACUGGGAUAACUUCGGGAAACCGGAGCUAAUACCGGAUAAUAUUUUGAACCGCAUGGUUCAAAAGUGAAAGACGGUCUUGCUGUCACUUAUAGAUGGAUCCGCGCUGCAUUAGCUAGUUGGUAAGGUAACGGCUUACCAAGGCAACGAUGCAUAGCCGACCUGAGAGGGUGAUCGGCCACACUGGAACUGAGACACGGUCCAGACUCCUACGGGAGGCAGCAGUAGGGAAUCUUCCGCAAUGGGCGAAAGCCUGACGGAGCAACGCCGCGUGAGUGAUGAAGGUCUUCGGAUCGUAAAACUCUGUUAUUAGGGAAGAACAUAUGUGUAAGUAACUGUGCACAUCUUGACGGUACCUAAUCAGAAAGCCACGGCUAACUACGUGCCAGCAGCCGCGGUAAUACGUAGGUGGCAAGCGUUAUCCGGAAUUAUUGGGCGUAAAGCGCGCGUAGGCGGUUUUUUAAGUCUGAUGUGAAAGCCCACGGCUCAACCGUGGAGGGUCAUUGGAAACUGGAAAACUUGAGUGCAGAAGAGGAAAGUGGAAUUCCAUGUGUAGCGGUGAAAUGCGCAGAGAUAUGGAGGAACACCAGUGGCGAAGGCGACUUUCUGGUCUGUAACUGACGCUGAUGUGCGAAAGCGUGGGGAUCAAACAGGAUUAGAUACCCUGGUAGUCCACGCCGUAAACGAUGAGUGCUAAGUGUUAAGGGGGUUUCCGCCCCUUAGUGCUGCAGCUAACGCAUUAAGCACUCCGCCUGGGGAGUACGACCGCAAGGUUGAAACUCAAAGGAAUUGACGGGGACCCGCACAAGCGGUGGAGCAUGUGGUUUAAUUCGAAGCAACGCGAAGAACCUUACCAAAUCUUGACAUCCUUUGACAACUCUAGAGAUAGAGCCUUCCCCUUCGGGGGACAAAGUGACAGGUGGUGCAUGGUUGUCGUCAGCUCGUGUCGUGAGAUGUUGGGUUAAGUCCCGCAACGAGCGCAACCCUUAAGCUUAGUUGCCAUCAUUAAGUUGGGCACUCUAAGUUGACUGCCGGUGACAAACCGGAGGAAAGG